rnacentral:misc_RNA from 1 species
UCCGUUUUGUCAACGGCAGUCCCCCUAGAGUGCCCGGCCUAACCGCUGGCAACUAGAGGUAAGGGUUGCGCUCGUUGCGGGACUUAACCCAACAUCUCACGACACGAGCUGACGACAGCCAUGCAGCACCUGUCUCCCGGCUCCCGAAGGCACCCCCGCAUCUCUGCAGGGUUCCGAGGAUGUCAAAACCAGGUAAGGUUCUUCGCGUUGCAUCGAAUUAAACCACAUGCUCCACCGCUUGUGCGGGCCCCCGUCAAUUCAUUUGAGUUUCAACCUUGCGGCCGUACUCCCCAGGCGGAGAACUUAACGCGUUGGCUUCAACACUGAAAGGCUUACCCUCCCAACGUCUAGUUCUCAUCGUUUAGGGCGUGGACUAC